rfam:Ixodes scapularis strain Wikel colony gcontig_1108378812692, whole genome shotgun sequence.
GCAGUCGUGGCCGAGUGGUUAAGGCGAUGGACUAGGAAUCCAUUGGGGUUUCCCGGCACAGGUUCGAAUUCUGUCGACUGCG